rnacentral:rRNA from 1 species
CCCGACGACAAGAGUGCUGUGGUCCUACCUGACCCCAUACCGAACUCAGAAGUAAAACGCAGUAACGUCGAUGGUAGUGUGGUGAUUCGCCAUGUGAGUAGAGCAUCGUCGGGU